UCGAUUGACAGUGAAGCGCGCAAGGCCCAACUUGGUUCCCAACCGACUUAUGGCCCAAGUUCCACAUCAAUUCCAGAAAUAUCCAUGGCCGACUUUAACCUAAUAUUUAUGUGCUCUGCCAUUAUUUUGGGUAAGACACACUUUCAUACUUUAUUAUUUUCAUAGCAAAACAUGUUUAGGGUUUUUAGUAGUUUGGAGAGAAGAUCCAAAACUCCUUCAGAGUUUUGUAUUGGAGCUCUAGUUUUUCUACUUUAUUCUAUUUAUAUGCAUUUUAUUCAGAUAUUUGCUAUGUUAUAUUUUGUUAUGUCUGAGUUACCUUUGUUAGAUUUAUGGUUUAAAGUAAGGCUAUGGGAUUUGCCCAAUAUAUAGAUACGCAAAUGUGACAAAAAUUUUCUUCAAGGAAUUGUUUGUAAUGUUUGUGUUCUAGAGUAGCUAACUAGAAGCCUGAACUUAAGAUAAUUAGGUGCACACAACGGCAUGGUUUUUACCUGAAUUAAUUUUCUUCAGCUAGGAUUGCUAGGAACAAGCGACAGCUGAUUUAGUUAAUACUAGUGAACCUAUCGAACAGCUCACUAAAGCUUGCCUAGGUAAACGUCGAUCGACGCUAAUCUCAUAGCAUCAAUUGACGUUCAAACCAUAUCAACAAGCAACAUCUGAGAUAUUGGACUUAGUAAAUAGGAUUUAUUCGCAUGCAGAAGCUGGAAUACUUUGCAAUUUGAAUUUGAGUUCUAGGAUUGAAAACCUUGGCAUCUAUAUCACUACAAUCAUGAUUACCUGAAAUCCUAGAUCUAAUUAUUUCU
rnacentral:lncRNA from 1 species